AUAUACGUUUGCAGAACCGAACAGUUCUCUUGUUGCACAGGGAGAAUUGGAUUCAGAAGGUAUAAAUAACCCGGGAAGAAAAACAAAAAUGCAGAUAGUUCACAUUCGUUUCCCAGUGUUCUUUCUUUGGGUGUAGCUGCUUCUGUCCAUCAUUUAUCAAUUGAAACUCAGUUAGGUCUCUUUGUCAAAGAAAUCCACUUCCAUCAGAAUACAUCCUCAUACAAUAUCGUUGUCGAAGUGUAUAAUGAUCUCCUGGUUCUGCUCAUUUCACUCAGCAUCAGUUCAUGUAAGUCUCUCCAAGCCUCUCUGUAUUCAUCCUGCUGGUCAUUUCUUACAGAACAAUAAUAUUCCAUAACAUUCAUAUACCACAAUUUACCCAGCCAUUCUCCAAUUGAUGGGCAUCCAUUCAAUUUCCACUUUCUAGCUACUACAAACAGGGCUGCCACAAACAUUUUGGCACAUACAAGUCCCUUUACCUUCUUUAGUAUUUCUUUGGGAUAUAAGUCCAGAAGUAUCACUGCUGGAUCAAAGGGUAUGCACAGUUUGAUAACUUUUGGGGCAUAAUUCUAGAUUGCUCUCCAGAAUGGUUGGAUUCGUUCACAACUCCACCAACAAUGCAUCAGUGUCCCAUUUUUCCUGCAUCCCCUCCAACAUUCAUCAUUAUUUUUUCCUGUCAUCUUAGUCAAUCUGACAGGUGUGUAGUGGUAUCUCAGAGUUGUCUUAAUUUUUAUUUCUCUGAUCAAUAGUGAUUUGGAACACUCUUUCAUAUGAGUGGUAAUAGUUUCAAUCUCAUCCUCUGAAAAUUGUCUGUUCAUAUCCUUUGACCAUUUAUCAAUUGGAGAAUGGCUUGAUUUCUUAUAAAUUUGAGUCAGUUCUCUAUAUAUUUUGGAAAUGAGGCCUUUAUCAGAACCUUUAAUUGUGAGGAUGUUUUCCCAGUUUGUUGCUUCCCUUCUAAUCUUGUUUGCAUUAGUUUUGUUUGUACAAAGGCUUUUUAAUUUGAUAUAAUCAAAAUUUUCUAUUUUGUGAUCAGUAAUGGUCUCUAGUUCAUCUUUGGUCACAAAUUUAUUUCUCCUCCACAAGUCUGAGAGAUAAACUAUCCUAUGUUCCUCUAAUUUAUUUAUAAACUCGUUCUUUAUGCCUAGGUCAUGGACCCAUUUUGAUCUUAUCUUGGUAUAUGGUGUUAAGUGUGGUGUAAGAAAUGCCUAAUUUCUGCCAUACUAAUUUCCAGUUAUCCCAGCAGUUUUUAUCAAAUAAUGAAUUCUUAUCCCAAAAGUUAGGAUCUUUGGAUUUGUCAAACACUAGAUUGCUAUAGUUCACUAUUCUGUCUUGUGAACCUGAUCUUUUCCACUGAUCAACUAAUCUAUUUCUUAGCCAAUACCAAAUGGUUUUGGUGACUACUGCUUUAUAAUAUAAUUUUAGAUCAGGUACAACUAGGCCACCUUCAUUUGAUUUUUUUUCAUUAAUUCCCUUGAGAUUCUCGACUUUUUAUUGUUCCAUAUGAAUUUUGUUGUUAUUUUUUCUUUUUUUUUUUUAAUUUUUAUUUAAUAAUUACUUUAUAUUGACACUCGUUUCUGUUCCGAUUUAUUUUUUUGCCUCCCUCCCUCCACCCCCUCCCCUAGAUGGCAAGCAGUCCUUUAUAUGUUGGAUAUGUUGCAGUAUAUCCUAGAUACAAUAUAUGUUUGCAGAACCGAACAGUUCUCUUGUUGCAUAGGGAGAAUUGGACUCAGAAGGUAUAAAUAACCCAGGAAGAAAAACAAAAAUGCAGAUAGUUCACAUUCGUUUCCCAGUGUUCUUUCUUUGGGUGUAGCUGCUUUUGUCCAUCAUUUAUCAAUUGAAACUCAGGUCUCUUUGUCAAAGAAAUCCACUUCCAUCAGAAUACAUCCUCAUACAAUAUCUUUGUCGAAGUGUAUAAUGAUCUCCUGGUUCUGUUCAUUUCACUUAGCAUCAGUUCAUGUAGGUCUCUCCAAGCCUCUCUGUAUUCAUCCUGCUGGUCAUUCCUUACAGAGCAAUAAUAUUCCAUAACAUUCAUAUACCACAAUUUACCCAGCCAUUCUCCAAUUGAUGGGCAUCCAUUCAUUUUCCAGUUUCUAGCCACUACAAACAGGGCUGCUACAAACAUUUUGGCACAUACAGGUCUCUUUCCCUUUUUUAGUAUCUCUUUGGGGUAUAAGCCCAAUAGAAACACUGCUGGAUCAAAGGUUAUGUACAUUUUGAUAAUUUUUUGGGCACAAUUCCAGAUUGUUCUCCAGAAUGGUUGGGUUCGUUCACAACUCUACCAACAAUGCAUCAGUGUCCCCAUUUUCCCGCAUCCCCUCCAACAUUCAUCAUUAUUUUUUCCUGUCAUCUUAGCCAAUCUGACAGGUGUGUAGUGGUAUCUCAGAGUUGUCUUAAUUUGCAUUUCUCUGAUCAAUAGUGAUUUGGAACACUUUCAUAUGAGUGGUAAUAAUUUCAAUUUCAUCAUCUGAAAAUUGUCUGUUCAUAUCCUUUGACCAUUUAUCAAUUGGAGAAUGGCUUGGUUUCUUAUAAAUUAGGGUCAGUUCUCUAUAUAUUUUGGAAAUGAGGCCUUUAUCAGAACCUUUAACUGUAAAGAUGUUUUCCCAGUUUGUUGCUUCCCUUCUAAUCUUGUUUGCAUUCGUUCUGUUUGUACAAAGGCUUUUUAAUUUGAUAUAAUCAAAAUUUUCUAUUUUGUGAUCAGUAAUGGUCUCUAGUUCAUCUUUGGUCACAAAUUUAUUUCUCCUCCACAAGUCUGAGAGAUAAACUAUCCUACGUUCCUCUAAUUUAUUUAUAAUCUCGUUCUUUAUGCUUAGGUCAUGGAUCCAUUUUGAUCUUAUCUUGGUAUAUGGUGUUAAGUGUGGGUCCUUGCCUAAUUUCUGCCAUACUAAUUUCCAGUUAUCCCAGCAGUUUUUAUCAAAUAAUGAAUUCUUAUCCCAAAAGUUAGAAUCUUUGGGUUUGUCAAACACUAGUUUGCUAUAGUUGACUAUUCUGUCUUGUGAACCUAACCUUUUCCACUGAUCAACUAAUCUAUUUCUUAGCCAAUACCAAAUGGUUUUGGUGACUGCUGCUUUAUAAUAUAAUUUUAGAUCAGGUACAGCUAGACCACCUUCAUUUGAUUUUUUUUUUCAUUAAUUCCCUUGAGAUUCUCGACUUUUUAUUGUUCCAUAUGAAUUUUGUUGUUAUUUUUUCUAGAUCAUUAAAAUAUUUUCUUGGAAGUCUGAUUGGUAUAGCACUAAAUAAAUAGAUUAGUUUAGGGAGUAUUGUCAUCUUUAUUAUAUUUGCUCGGCCUAUCCAAGAGCACUUAAUAUUUUUCCAAUUAUUUAAGUCUGACUUUAUUUGUGUGGAAACUUUUUUGUAAUUUUGCUCAAAUAAUUCCUGACUUUCCUUUGAUAGGUAGAUUCCCAAAUAUUUUAUGCUAUCAACAGUUAUUCAAAGCAAUUUUUUUUACUGGGGAAAAAAAUCUAGAACAUACUCUUAUUUAAGUUCAUGGAACUAGAAGCAGAAUGGCCUGGUAGAUAUAAGGCUGAGUUUGGAAUCAAUGUUUUAGAGCUAGAAGGUUCCUGAGAGGCCAGCUAGUUCAAAUGCUUCAUUUUAGGGAAGAAAAGAGAUUCCGCCAGGUGAUUUGCACAAGGUCAAAUAUGAUUUAAGUAGCAGAGCUGGGACGGGAACUUGUGUCCUCUAGUUCUUUCAUCUAUUCUAUAAGGCUUCUGGAAGAACUCAUUUACCAGCCAUGUGAUCUUAUAUAAGACAUCUAACCUCUAUUUGUUCUACAAGUUACCAAGUCUCACAGGGUAGCAAUCAACAAAAAGUUCACCAUAUAUUCAGGAACUUGCAAUUCUUAGUGUAAUCCAAUACAUAAACGAGUCAUAAACAUAAUGUUUGGCUUUUAAGACUGACUCAAACACUUUUGUUGAAAGACAGGACCAAUGUCUUACUUAUCUUUAUAUCUCCUCCCAACUUGGAGCAUCACAACUAGUACUCACUCAAUGAACAUUUAUAGUAGGGAAAUAUUUAGUGACUAGUGUAGAGCUAUAAAAUUCACAGUCCCCCACAAAACUCUGGACAGCAAAUCAAACCACACAAAAAUGGGAAAUGUUUAACAAUGAAUAAAAAUAUGUGAUAUAAUGCAAUUCGAUGUUAAAUAUUGGCAAUUCUUCUAUUUCCAUAUUUGUCAUGUUGCCCAAGAAAAAUAAAAUCAAAAUCCAAGAAAGGGGAAAAGCAAAACAAACAAACAAUAACAAAAUGGUAAAAAUACUAUCCUUUGAUCCACAUUCAGAUUCCAUAGUUCUCUCUCUGGAUUGGUGGACACCCUCCAGGAUCCCAAGUCUACUGAUAAUGCCUUAAAUCACGACAUUGUUGAAAAGAACCAAGUUCCUCGCAGUUGAUUAUCACAUAAUCUUGCUAUUGUGCAAAAUGUUCUCUUGGUUCUGCUCAGUUCACUUAGCUCAGUUCAAAUAAGUCUCUCCAGGCUCUUCUGUUCAUCAUUUCUUACAGAACUAUUCCAAUUACAUUCAUAUAUCACAAUCUAGUCAGCCAUUCCCCAACUGAUAGGCAUUCACUCAGUUUUCAGUCCCUUGCCAUUACAAAAAGGGCUGUGACAAACAUUUUUGCAUAGGUGAGUCCUUUUCUCUCUUUUAUGAUCUCUUUGGGAUAUAGACUUAAUGAAACAUUGUUGGAUCAAAGGGGAUGCAGUUUUAUAGCCCUUUGGGCAUAGUUCCAAAAUGUUCUCCAGAAUGGCUAGAUCAGUUCACAGUUCCACCAACAAUGUAUCAGUGUCCCAGUUGUCUCACAUCCCCUCCAACAUUCAUCAUUAUCUUUUCCUGUCAUCUUAGCCAAUCUCAGAGGUGUGUGAAGUGGUACUUCAGAGUGGUCUUAAUUUGCAUUUCUCUAAUCAACAGCAUUUUAGAGCAUUUUUUUCAUAUGACUAGAAAUGGCUUUUUUUAAUGUUUGUCUAAAAACUGUCUUAAUUUCCUUUGAUCUUCAUAUUAAUUGGGAAAUAGCUUAUAUUUUUAUAAAUUUGAGUUUAUAAUUUAGAAAUGAGACCUUUAUCAGAAACAGUGACUAUAAAAAAUUUCCUCCUAGCCUUUUGCUUCCCUUCUAAUCAUGGCUGCACUGGUUUUGUUCAUACAAAACCUUUAUAAUUUAAUGUAAUCAAAAUUAUUAUUUUGCAUUUCAUUAUGUCCUGUAGUUCUUCUUUGGCCAUAAAAUCCUUCUUUUUUUUUUUUUUUUUUUUUUUUUGGCUGAGGCACUUGGGGUUAAGUGACUUGCCCAGGGUCACACAGCUAGGAAAUAUUAAGUGUCUGAGUUUGAACUCAGGUACUCUGGACUUCAGGGCUGGUGCUCUAUCCAUUAUACCACCUAGUUGCCCCUCUUCCUUCUUUACAGAUCUGAGAGGUAGAUUAUCCCUUAUUCUCCUAAUGUACCCAUUUUGACCUUAUCUUGGUAUAGAAUACUAGAUAUUGGUCAGUUCCUAGUUUCUGUCAUGCUAUUUUCCAGUUUUCCCAGAUAUUUUUGUCAAAUAUUGAGUUCUUAUCCCAGAAGUUGGAGUCUUUGGGUUUAUCAAAUACUAGAAUAUGACCACAGUCAUUGACUAUUGUGUCUUGUGAAUCUAACAUAUUUUACUAAUCUACUCUAUUUCUUAACCAGUACUAAAUGGUUUUGAUGAUCAUUGCUUUGUAAUAUAGUUUUAGGUCUGGUGUAGUUAGGCCAACUUCAUUUGCAUUUUUUUCAUUAAUUCCCUUGAUAUUCUUGACCUUUUGUUCUUCCAAAUGAAUUUUGUUAUUAUUUUUUCUAGCUCUAUAAAGUAUUUUCUUGGCAAUUUGAUUGGUAUGGCACUGAAUAAGUAGAUUCAUUUAGGUAGAAUCGUCAUUUUUAUUACAUUAGCUCAGCCUUCCCAUGAGCAUUUGAUAUUAUUCCAAUUGUUCAGAACUAACUUUAUUUGUGUGAAAAGUGUUUUGUAAUUGUUCUUGGCUUUGUCUUGGCAGGUAGACUCCCAAAUAUUUUAUAUUAUCUAGUUAUUUUAAAUGGAAUUUCUCUUUGUAUCUCUUGCUGUUGGUCUUGUUGGUAACAUAUAGAAAUGCCAGUGAUUUACGUGGGUUUAUUUUACAUUCUGCAAUUUUGCUAAAGUUGUUAAUUGUUUCAAGUAGUUUUUAGUUGAUUCUCUAGAAUUCUCUAAAUGUUCCAUUAUAGCAUUUGCAAAGAGUGACAAUUUUGUUUCCUCAUUACCUACUCUAAUUUCUUUUUCUUCUCAUUUCUAAGGCUAACAUUUCUAGUACAAUAAUGAAUAAUUGUGGUGAUAAUGAGCAACCAUAUUUUAUCCUUGAUCUUACUGGGAAUGCUUCUAGCUUAUCUCCAUUUAUACCUGCUUAAGAGAUCACAUAGUUAAAAAUUAUAAAGAAAAGAAGAAUGUGGAAUAUACCAUUCAGGGGAAAAAAAACUGCAAAAAACAUUUCCACAAACUUUUAGCAUAAGAGAUUAAGUUGAGGAAAUUAUUUAUAACCAUGUAAAAGAGUAAAAUGUUUUAAGUAACAAGUGCUGAAUAUUCAUAUAUUUCUAUAUAUAGGUAGUAAAAUACUAGCAAUAGAUAUGAGGGAAAAAUCUAGAUUAGAAUCACUUCACAAAGGUAGACAAAUAAUGAGCUUUUACAAGGGAAAAGAUUAUAUUACAUAUGGAGAAGUAUUACUACUUUGAUAGAACUACAACCUAAUUGAGAUAUUGAUAUUAACAUUAUUGAUAAAAGUAUUUUUUUCACUGGUACAACCUGAAAUUUAUCUUUGCCUUCUCUUGUACAACUUUUGAUCUACCUCUUGUGUUCUUGACAUAAACUCUGACUGUUUCUACUAGGCUGUAAAAUCCUUUUGCUUUGUAUCACUCAUUUCUGAAUAUCUCUUACUUCCCCAGUAAACUAUUCCUUGUACUAACAAUAAAAAGAGAAAAGAGACAGAGACAGAAAGACACACAUAGAGAGUGCAAGAACGCACAGCAUUAAAAUUAAUACAUAUUAACUCAGAAUGAUAAUAUAUGUACUGUUCCAUACACAUAAUCUUUUUAAUGAAAUAAUCUCCCUACUUUCAUUCCUCUUCCAAUCUCCCAAAUUAAUAAAUCCCAUCCACAUUUCCAAUCAGUUGUUCAAUUUUACUUCAUCCCUCAAAUCCAACUAUCUUUUCUCUACUCACAAAGCUGUCACCUUAAUUUAGGCCCUCACUGCCUUUCACCUAGAUUACUGAUAAUUUCUCUGCCUCAGUCUCUCCAGAUAAGUGAGUAAUCUACCCUCCAUAUUGCUGUCAAUGUGUUACCAUCUUAACCUUGACACUACUCUACUUAGUACUCUAGUUGUUGCCUCUACAAUCAAACAACUCUAAUUUUAACCUUUAAAAUCCUUCACAAUUUGCCUCUAAUCCAUCAAUAAUUUUAUUCUUGCUAGACAGUAUUCUUUUCUCACAAGAGAUCCAAGCAAACUUGCCUUCUCUCUGUUCCUCAACAUGAUUCCUGUCUUUGUACUAGCAGUCCUAUGCUCUUUCUUCACCUAACAGAACCCCUCUCUUCAUUUAAGAUGUAAUAACUGUCACCUUUUUAUGUGAAGCCUUCCCUGAUCCCUUCAAUGACAGUGCCUUCUAUCUCAAACUACCUCCAAUUUAACUACUUAUACUUAUAAUCUAUAAUUAUUCUGUAUACAGACACAUCUUGUUUCAUUGCACUUCACAGAUACUGCAUUUUUUACAAAUUGAAGGUUUGUGGCAACCCUGUGUCAAGCAAAUCUAUUGAUACCAUUUUCUAACAGCAUGGGCUCACAACAUGUCUCUACCACAUUUUGCUAAUUCUUGCAAUGUUUCAACCUUUUCCAUUAUUAUUAUACCUGCUAUGGUGUCUAUGAUUAGUGAUUUUUGAUGUUGCUAUUGUACAUUGUUUUGGAGAGUCAUGAACUAUGCCCAUACCAUGUUAAACUUGAUGGAUAAAUGUGUGUUCUGACUGCUCCACCAAUAGGUAGUUCCCUAGCUCCCUCUCUCUUUCCCUUGGGCCUCUUUAUUCUCUGACAUAUAACAAUAUUGAAAUUAGGCAACUAAUUUCAACUAAUCAGCAGCAUCAACAGAGAGGCAAGAUCCUCUACCAGCAAAAAUAUUACAACUCAUUGAAGAUUCAGAUGAUGGUUAGCAUUUUUUAAUGAAAGUAUUUUUAAUUUUUAUGUGUACAUUGGAUUUUUUUUUUUAGCCACAACACUUUUGUACAUUAAUAGAUGACAGGAUAGAGUAAAACCUAACUUUCCAAAAACUUAAUGUGACAUUUUAUUGCAGUGAUCUAAAAAUGAACCUGAAAUAGCUCUGGAGUAAGUCUCUAGAUGUAGAAAUCCUUAUUUUCUCUCCCAUUAAAAUAUAAGCUCUCUGUGAGUAAAGAUCACUUCAUUUAUUGUAUUUGUAACUCCCAGUACAUCUAGCACAGUGUCUGGAAACAUAGUAGAUGCUUAAUAAAUACUUGUUGGUUGAUUAUCAUUCCUUUUGGGGAGACACAACAAAUCUUUCAUUUACAUUGUUAUAAUUGUUGUGUAUAGUUUUUUUUGGAGGUUUUGCUUAUUUUACUCUGUAUCAAUUCACAUGGUAUUCUAAGAAUUCUUCAUAUUCAGAUUACUUAUAGCAUUGUAAUCAUCCCUUACAUUUAUGUAUCAUUAUUUUCAUUUAGACAUUGGAGGUGUCAGUUGAUGGAUAUCUGCUUUGUUUCUAGUUCUGAUAAUCCCAAAAGUGUUAGGAAUAUUAUGGAUACAUAGGAGAUCUUUCUUUCCAUAAUUGAUCUCCUUAGAAUAUGGUCAUGAUUUAAUUUUUUAAUAGUAUAGACAUCAUAGAGACAACCUAAUCUUCUGUAAAAAGUUCAGGCUAUACAGAAGAAAUUUAUAUUCAGACUUUGAAAUUACUAUCUGACACUGACACUUGGUAUCUGUAUGGCCUUGGACAAAUCACAUAACCUCCCUAGGCCUAGUUUCUUUUUCUACAAAAUGAAGGUGUUGGACUAAAUAAAAUGGCCUUUGAAGUCGCUUUUACCUCUCAAUGAUUUGUAAGCUAAAAUAGUUAAUAUGUAUACCACAACUCAUUUAAAUUAAUGGUGCUAAGAGAUGCUAACAUUUCUACAUAGAUAGCUAUCCUGAUAAGUGUUUUGUUUUGUUUUUUAACUUUGGUAGAAGAUGAAGCAGAAAGUUUUUGAGGGGUCUUUUUUGCAUAUCAAGAAAUAAAAUUUAAGUUGUAAAAUCUGAACACUAAGCCAAUUUGAACUUUUCUUAAAUUUUAAAUAAUAAAAAU